CCCUUAGAUGUCCUGGGCUGCACGCGCGCUACACUGAUGUGUCCAGUAAGCACCUAACCUCUUCCGAAAGGAACGGGUAACCUUUGCAAAGCACAUCGUGAUGGGGAUAGAUUAUUGCAAUUAUUAGUCUUGAACGAGGAAUUCCUAGUAAGCACAAGUCAUCAGCUUGUGUUGAUUACGUCCCUGCCCUUUGUACACACCGCCCGUCGCUCCUACCGAUUGGGUGUGCUGGUGAAAUGUUCGGAUCGGCCGUUUGUCGCGGUUUCCGCGUCAUGUGGCUGAGAAGUUCAUUAAACCCUCCCACCGAGAGGAAGGAGAAGUCGUAACA
rnacentral:rRNA from 1 species